CGCGUCUCUGCCAGCAGGUGGUGCUGUGUGAGGUGAGCAAGCAGCCGGCCCGCCCCAGCCACGUGGCGAUCCGCGGUGGUGCCUGCCUGCGGGGGGCCCGGAGGGUCCGGUUUCCCCUGGGCCCCAGUUCCCGGUCACCCCCCCCCUUUUUAGGGCUGCACGUGGCCAAGAUCUGAUGAGGCACAUCCUUGACCUUCUGACUAAAAUACCUAGAUCCUAUUGGAAACCAGCACAGUUCAUCUCAAAGCGUCUUCCUCGUCCACUCCCAUCGUACAACGCUUCUGCCAUCAAAGUCCUGAAGCCAGCAGAGCCUGCUUUGCACCCUGGUGGUGGAGAAGAGGCAAGUAGGGUUCCAGGUAGCAAAACUGCGCGAGGGAAGAGACGUUUGCAGUGCUUCAUGCUGCUGAGGCCCUGCCGGAGGUGAUGGGCCCAGCUGCCUUCUAUGAUAAAAUUGGUUGAUUUCUAAUAUGUAUUAAAAGUUGCCUUGCUCCAGACUAAGAUCACAAUGUGA